GCGGGUGUGGCGGAACGGUAGACGCAGCGGACUCAAAAUCCGCCGAGGGCAACCUUAUGUCGGUUCGAGUCCGACCACCCGCACCA
rnacentral:tRNA from 1 species